UUUGUUAGAAACAAUUGUAAAUCUCUAAAGCCCCAAUUUUUGUCGCGAUUCCUGCGUUCAUCUCUCUCUCAUCCCUUGUUUGGCUUCGAAUUCAAUCUUUUGCUUUCCGUUGGUGACGUUAUCGGAUCUCAAAGCUUCUUUAGACAAUUUCCCACAGGCCACAGAUCUUAUUAUCAGUUUUCACUCUUCAGAUGGGUUAGGAGAUGAGUUUGUCUCAGUCUUGUGUUCUGUAACCGACUCACCAUCAACAAGUCUUGUGUUUUGUCACCGAGGGAAUAUCUGCUUGUGUUCUUGUGUUCAUAUCGGCAAGGUCCUGUUUUAUAAGCAGACGUAUUUGACCAAAGAAAACGCAGAACAAGUCUUGUGUUCAUAUCGGCAAGAUAUACAAGAGGGCAAGUGAGGCGUAUGAAGCUUUGUCGACUAGGUUAGGCGAGCAGAAGUUUCUCUUUGAAGACAGGUCUUGUACUCUUGUGUUCUGUCACUGACUCACCAUCAACAAGUCUCAGGUUGCUUUGUUUUGUAGGAACAAUUGAAGACCUCUUUGAUGAAAAUGAAGAUGUCCAAAAAAAAAACAAGUAUUUCAGAAGUGAUAAGAUUAAGUUGUGAUUGAAGAUCAAGACAAGGUCUACCAAGAAGUCAUUGAGUCGUCAGAAACUCAUGAGAAUGUCUUGUGAAAGAUAAGGCUUUGUGCAAGAUUGAUGAGAAUGUUUAUGUUCAUGGAUUUUAAUACUUUAUAUUCAAGUUAUGUUUUGGCUCUCUUUCUAAAAUUGUUAUGUUUUUUGUAAUGUAAACUCUGAACAUCUUGUAAACUCAUGAGAAUGUCUUGUAAACUUA